CAGUGCUGCAGCUAACGCAUUAAGCACUCCGCCUGGGGAGUACGACCGCAAGGUUGAAACUCAAAGGAAUUGACGGGGGCCCGCACAAGCGGUGGAGCAUGUGGUUUAAUUCGAAGCAACGCGAAGAACCUUACCAGGUCUUGACAUCCUUUGACCACUCUAGAGAUAGAGCUUCCCCUUCGGGGGCAAAGUGACAGGUGGUGCAUGGUUGUCGUCAGCUCGUGUCGUGAGAUGUUGGGUUAAGUCCCGCAACGAGCGCAACCCUUAUUGUUAGUUGCCAUCAUUUAGUUGGGCACUCUAGCAAGACUGCCGGUGACAAACCGGAGGAAGGUGGGGAUGACGUCAAAUCAUCAUGCCCCUUAUGACCUGGGCUACACACGUGCUACAAUGGGAAGUACAACGAGUCGCAAAGUCGCGAGGCUAAGCUAAUCUCUUAAAGCUUCUCUCAGUUCGGAUUGUAGGCUGCAACUCGCCUACAUGAAGCCGGAAUCGCUAGUAAUCGCGGAUCAGCACGCCGCGGUGAAUACGUUCCCGGGCCUUGUACACACCGCCCGUACACACCACGAGAGUUUUGUAACACCCGAAGU
rnacentral:rRNA from 1 species